CCCAACAGAUUGGUGGUGUAGACUGUGGAGUCUUCAUGUUGAUGUAUGCUCUACAUCUUGUCUUGGGAGCACCCUUUGAUUUUACAUCUUGCGACUUUCCAAACAUACAGAGAUGGUGGGCUUAUUCUUCUGGAGAACUUUGGGGUUUUCUCUGAAAGUGCAGAAACCGUACAAGAGUCCCUUCCAUGUGAAGAACAAGGAGCUCCCAAUAAUCCGG